UACAGAGGUCUCAAGCGUUUGUUCGGAUUCAUUGGGCGUAAAGGGUGCGUAGGCGGCGCGGUAAGUCGGGUGUGAAAUCUCGGAGCUUAACUCCGAAACUGCAUUCGAUACUGCCGUGCUUGAGGACUGGAGAGGAGACUGGAAUUUACGGUGUAGCGGUGAAAUGCGUAGAUAUCGUAAGGAAGACCAGUGGCGAAGGCGGGGUCUCUGGACAGUUCCUGACGCUGAGGCACGAAGGCCCAGGGGGAGCAAAACGGGG
rnacentral:rRNA from 1 species